rnacentral:lncRNA from 1 species
AAGAAAUGACAAAGUAUUUCAGCAGAUAUAAUUAAAGCUAGAGAUGACAUAUGAAGAGUACAUUCAGUUAUGAGGAAAAAAGUAGUACCCCAAUAUAACUGGCAAACACAUAAAUAAAGUUGCAGAACUUUAUUUAGAAGAAGAACUAUUAGGCAAACAGUAAAAAUAUUUGUGGUUGCUAAUAUCAGAGAAUGCAGUUUAAAAGGCAAAAUAAGUUAUUUUUCCACUCAAAUUAGUUAAAGGAAAUGAUUGAGAGGGUAUAAUGAAAAUAGCACUUUCACACCUUGCAAGUGGAAAGACAUGAUGCAACCGUCUUGAAAAACAACGUGGCAACGUGAAUCAAGAGCCAUAAAAAGAUUUACACUAUUUUAACUAAAUGGCUGUAAUGUCAGCUGAAAUAUGAAAUUUUCUUCUGCGCACCAAUAUUUUCGAGAAUGUCAUAUGCUCAAGCAGUGUGUGGUCCUUCUAGUUGUGACAUGUGGGAUGCUGCCUCAGCAUGGUUUGACGAGCGGUGCCAUGUCCGUGCCCUGGAUCUGAACCGGUGAAACCCUGGGCCGCUGAAGCAGAGGGAGUGAACUUAACCACUCUGCCACAGGGCCAGCCCCUCCUCUGUUCCAUCUUUGAU